rnacentral:rRNA from 1 species
UACGGGGGGGGCAAGCGUUGUUCGGAAUUACUGGGCGUAAAGGGCUCGUAGGCGGCCAACUAAGUCAUACGUGAAAUCCCUCGGCUUAACCGGGGAACUGCGUCUGAUACUGGAUGGCUUGAGUUCGGGAGAGGGAUGGCGGAAUUCCAGGUGUAGCGGUGAAAUGCGUAGAUAUCUGGAGGAACACCGGUGGCGAAGGCGGCAUCCUGGACCGAUACUGACGCUGAGGAGCGAAAGCCAGGGGAGCAAACGGG